rnacentral:rRNA from 1 species
CACGGGGGGAGCAAGCGUUGUUCGGAAUCACUGGGCGUAAAGGGCGUGUAGGCGGUCGAGUAAGUGGAAUGUGAAAUGCCCCGGCUCACCCGGGGACCUGCAUUCCAAACUGCUCGGCUCGAGUAUGGGAGAGGAUGAGGGAAUUCCUGGUGUAGCGGUGAAAUGCGUAGAUAAUCAGGAGGAACACCGGUGGCGAAAGCGCUCAUCUGGCCCAAUACUGACGCUGAGGCGCGAAAGCUAGGGGAGCAAAACGGG